rnacentral:rRNA from 1 species
GAUGAACGCUGGCGGCGUGCCUAAUACAUGCAAGUCGAGCGCACGGACGAGAAGCUUGCUUCUCUGAUGUUAGCGGCGGACGGGUGAGUAACACGUGGAAAACCUACCUAUAAGACUGGGAUAACUUCGGGAAACCGGAGCUAAUACCGGCUAAUAUUUUGUACCGCAUGGUUCAAAAGUGAAAGACGGUCUUGCUGUCACUUAUAGAUGGAUCCGCGCUGCAUUAGCUAGUUGGUAAGGUAACGGCUUACCAAGGCAACGAUGCAUAGCCGACCUGAGAGGGUGAUCGGCCACACUGGAACUGAGACACGGUCCAGACUCCUACGGGAGGCAGCAGUAGGGAAUCUUCCGCAAUGGGCGAAAGCCUGACGGAGCAACGCCGCGUGAGUGAUGAAGGUCUUCGGAUCGUAAAACUCUGUUAUUAGGGAAGAACAUAUGUGUAAGUAACUGUGCACAUCUUGACGGUACCUAAUCAGAAAGCCACGGCUAACUACGUG